rnacentral:rRNA from 1 species
GAGUUUGAUCGUGGCUCAGGACGAACGCUGGCGGCGUGCUUAACACAUGCAAGUGGUGCGACGAACCAGGGCUUGCCCUGGGGCCAAGCCGCGAACGGGUGAGUAACACGUGAGUAACCUGCCCCGAUGACCGGGACAACCCGAGGAAACUCGGGCUAAUACCGGAUGUUGCGCACAGGCGUAAGCCUGUUCGCUAAAGGAAGCUUCGGCCUCCGCAUUGGGAGGGGCUCGCGGCCCAUUAGCUUGUUGGUGGGGUUACGGCCUACCAAGGCGACGAUGGGUAGCUGGUCUGAGAGGACGAUCAGCCACACUGGGACUGAGACACGGCCCAGACUCCUACGGGAGGCAGCAGUGGGGAAUCUUGCGCAAUGCGCGAAAGCGUGACGCAGCAACGCCGCGUGGGGGAAGACGGCCUCGGUUGUAACCCG